rnacentral:rRNA from 1 species
UGAGCUUGAUCCUGGCUCAGAUUGAACGCUGGCGGCAUGCCUUACACAUGCAAGUCGAACGGCAGCACGGAGCUUGCUCUGGUGGCGAGUGGCGAACGGGUGAGUAAUAUAUCGGAACGUACCCUAGAGUGGGGGAUAACGUAGCGAAAGUUACGCUAAUACCGCAUACGAUCUAAGGAUGAAAGUGGGGGAUCGCAAGACCUCAUGCUCGUGGAGCGGCCGAUAUCUGAUUAGCUAGUUGGUAGGGUAAAAGCCUACCAAGGCAUCGAUCAGUAGCUGGUCUGAGAGGACGACCAGCCACACUGGAACUGAGACACGGUCCAGACUCCUACGGGAGGCAGCAGUGGGGAAUUUUGGACAAUGGGCGAAAGCCUGAUCCAGCAAUGCCGCGUGAGUGAAGAAGGCCUUCGGGUUGUAAAGCUCUUUUGUCAGGGAAGAAACGGUGAGAGCUAAUAUCUCUGCUAAUGACGGUACC